rnacentral:rRNA from 1 species
AGGACGAACGCUGGCGGCGUGCCUAACACAUGCAAGUCGAGCGAGAUCCAUCCAGUGGCAACACUGGUGAAGAUCUAGCGGCGAACGGGUGAGUAACACGUGAGAAAUCUGCCCCGAAGACCGGGAUAACCCGAGGAAACUCGGGCUAAUACCGGAUACCCCGAUCGAGCCACAUGGUUUGAUGAGGAAAUGCUCCGACGCUUCGGGAGGAUCUCGCGGCCUAUCAGCUAGUUGGUGAGGUAACGCUCACCAAGGCGUACGACGGGUAAGCUGGUCCUGAGAGGACGAUCAGCCGACACUGGGACUGGACGACACGGCCCAAGGACCUCCGUACGGGAGGCAAGGCAGGUAGGGGAAUCC